rnacentral:rRNA from 1 species
CCUACGGGUGGCAGCAGUGAGGAAUAUUGGUCAAUGGGCGCGAGCCUGAACCAGCCAAGUAGCGUGAAGGAUGACUGCCCUACGGGUUGUAAACUUCUUUUAUCAAGGAAUAAAGUGAGGCACGUGUGCCUUUUUGUAUGUACUUUAUGAAUAAGCAUCGGCUAACUCCGUGCCAGCAGCCGCGGUAAUACGGAGGAUCCGAGCGUUAUCCGGAUUUAUUGGGUUAAAAGGGAGCGUAGGAGGGUGGUCAAGUCAGUGGUAAAAAUGCGGUGAUAAACGGAGAACAGCAAGUGAAACGGGCAGUCUUGAGUGGGCGAGAAGUAUGCGGAAGUCGGGGUGUAGCGGUGAAAUGCAUAGAUAUCACGAAGAACUCCGAUUGCGAAGGCAGCAUACCGGCGCCCUACUGACGCUGAGGCACGAAAGCGUGGGUAUCGAACAGGAUUAGAUACCCUAGUAGUC